UGUUAAUGAAUUGUGUAUUGCGUGGGUAAUGAUGGAAAUAUAAGAUACAAAGCCUCCGCAGGUUAUAGUCAUAUUCUCAAAGUAGACUGACCGCUCAAAAGAUAUAAAAAAAUGGUGUCGUUAGAAGUAGUACCAUGUUGUCGUAUUAUAAUGGCGGUCGUUAUGGUUAUCAGUAUAACGAUGGCCAGUGAUAUUUCUGAUGAACCUUUAGACACACAAGACCUCCGGCUCCUCGGGUAUCCACAGGGGAAAAGGCAGUCAAACGAAGACUUAACAAAGAUUUUGUUGAAAAAACUACGAUUCCGAGAUACAGAACCUGUGCUACAUACGUUACGGCAAUACCACGCUAUGCCUAAGAGUAAACGGCAAGAAAUGUUAAUGAAUAAUCUGGCUGCCUUACUUUCUGGUCUCAAGCAAAGACAAGCAGAACCGAACUUGCGUAUCCCCAGUCUACGAUUUGGUUAAGAUGUCGCUAGAAACAUUUUGGAAAAUGUGAAACUUAUAAAUAGAUGCAACAAAUUAUGUAAAAUGGUAAAUUUCAACUUCGACAUUCGAAAACUAGAAAUGCUAGACAAGUAGUGAUAUGAAAUUUCCUUUUUAUAAUAAUAAAUUUAUUUUUUUGUGAUUAACAUUGAUUUUUAUUUUGAUUUACAUAACGAAAAUCAAAAUCUUCGACAUAAAUUUUUAACAUACCGAU